GGGUUGUGAGGUUAAGCGACUAAGCGUACACGGUGGAUGCCCUGGCAGUCAGAGGCGAUGAAGGACGUGCUAAUCUGCGAAAAGCGUCGGUAAGGUGAUAUGAACCGUUACAGCCGGCGAUGUCCGAAUGGGGAAACCCAGUGCAAUUCGUUGCACUAUCGUUAACUGAAUACAUAGGUUAACGAGGCGAACCGGGGGAACUGAAACAUCUAAGUACCCCGAGGAAAAGAAAUCAACCGAGAUUCCCCCAGUAGCGGCGAGCGAACGGGGAGCAGCCCAGAGUCUGAAUCAGCUUGUGUGUUAGUGGAACGGUCUGGAAAGUCCGACGGUACAGGGUGAUAGUCCCGUACACCAAAAUGCACAGGCUGUGAACUCGAAGAGUAGGGCGGGACACGUGGUAUCCUGUCUGAAUAUGGGGGGACCAUCCUCCAAGGCUAAAUACUCCUGACUGACCGAUAGUGAACCAGUACCGUGAGGGAAAGGCGAAAAGAACCCCGGCGAGGGGAGUGAAAAAGAACCUGAAACCGUGUACGUACAAGCAGUGGGAGCACCUUCGGGUGUGACUGCGUACCUUUUGUAUAAUGGGUCAGCGACUUAUAUUCUGUAGCAAGGUUAACCGUAUAGGGGAGCCGCAGGGAAACCGAGUCUUAACUGGGCGUUAAGUUGCAGGGUAUAGACCCGAAACCCGGUGAUCUAGCCAUGGGCAGGUUGAAGGUUGGGUAACACUAACUGGAGGACCGAACCGACUAAUGUUGAAAAAUUAGCGGAUGACUUGUGGCUGGGGGUGAAAGGCCAAUCAAACCGGGAGAUAGCUGGUUCUCCCCGAAAGCUAUUUAGGUAGCGCCUCGUGAACUCAUCUUCGGGGGUAGAGCACUGUUUCGGCUAGGGGGUCAUCCCGACUUACCAACCCGAUGCAAACUACGAAUACCGAAGAAUGUUAUCACGGGAGACACACGGCGGGUGCUAACGUCCGUCGUGAAGAGGGAAACAACCCAGACCGCCAGCUAAGGUCCCAAAGUCAUGGUUAAGUGGGAAACGAUGUGGGAAGGCACAGACAGCCAGGAUGUUGGCUUAGAAGCAGCCAUCAUUUAAAGAAAGCGUAAUAGCUCACUGGUCGAGUCGGCCUGCGCGGAAGAUGUAACGGGGCUAAACCAUGCACCGAAGCUGCGGCAGCGACACUAUGUGUUGUUGGGUAGGGGAGCGUUCUGUAAGCCUGCGAAGGUGUGCUGUGAGGCAUGCUGGAGGUAUCAGAAGUGCGAAUGCUGACAUAAGUAACGAUAAAGCGGGUGAAAAGCCCGCUCGCCGGAAGACCAAGGGUUCCUGUCCAACGUUAAUCGGGGCAGGGUGAGUCGACCCCUAAGGCGAGGCCGAAAGGCGUAGUCGAUGGGAAACAGGUUAAUAUUCCUGUACUUGGUGUUACUGCGAAGGGGGGACGGAGAAGGCUAUGUUAGCCGGGCGACGGUUGUCCCGGUUUAAGCAUGUAGGCUGGUUGUCCAGGCAAAUCCGGAUAAUCAAGGCUGAGGUGUGAUGACGAGGCACUACGGUGCUGAAGUAACAAAUGCCCUGCUUCCAGGAAAAGCCUCUAAGCAUCAGGUAACAUUAAAUCGUACCCCAAACCGACACAGGUGGUCAGGUAGAGAAUACCAAGGCGCUUGAGAGAACUCGGGUGAAGGAACUAGGCAAAAUGGUGCCGUAACUUCGGGAGAAGGCACGCUGGUGUGUAGGUGAAGUCCCUGCGGAUGGAGCUGAGACCAGUCGAAGAUACCAGCUGGCUGCAACUGUUUAUUAAAAACACAGCACUGUGCAAACACGAAAGUGGACGUAUACGGUGUGACGCCUGCCCGGUGCCGGAAGGUUAAUUGAUGGGGUUAUCCGUAAGGAGAAGCUCUUGAUCGAAGCCCCGGUAAACGGCGGCCGUAACUAUAACGGUCCUAAGGUAGCGAAAUUCCUUGUCGGGUAAGUUCCGACCUGCACGAAUGGCGUAAUGAUGGCCAGGCUGUCUCCACCCGAGACUCAGUGAAAUUGAACUCGCUGUGAAGAUGCAGUGUACCCGCGGCAAGACGGAAAGACCCCGUGAACCUUUACUAUAGCUUGACACUGAACAUUGAGCCUUGAUGUGUAGGAUAGGUGGGAGGCUUUGAAGCGUGGACGCCAGUCUGCGUGGAGCCAACCUUGAAAUACCACCCUUUAAUGUUUGAUGUUCUAACGUUGGCCCCUGACCGGGGUUGCGGACAGUGUCUGGUGGGUAGUUUGACUGGGGCGGUCUCCUCCCAAAGCGUAACGGAGGAGCACGAAGGUUAGCUAAUCCUGGUCGGACAUCAGGAGGUUAGUGCAAUGGCAUAAGCUAGCUUGACUGCGAGCGUGACGGCGCGAGCAGGUGCGAAAGCAGGUCAUAGUGAUCCGGUGGUUCUGAAUGGAAGGGCCAUCGCUCAACGGAUAAAAGGUACUCCGGGGAUAACAGGCUGAUACCGCCCAAGAGUUCAUAUCGACGGCGGUGUUUGGCACCUCGAUGUCGGCUCAUCACAUCCUGGGGCUGAAGUAGGUCCCAAGGGUAUGGCUGUUCGCCAUUUAAAGUGGUACGCGAGCUGGGUUUAGAACGUCGUGAGACAGUUCGGUCCCUAUCUGCCGUGGGCGCUGGAGAAUUGAGGGGGGCUGCUCCUAGUACGAGAGGACCGGAGUGGACGCAUCACUGGUGUUCGGGUUGUCAUGCCAAUGGCACUGCCCGGUAGCUAAAUGCGGAAGAGAUAAGUGCUGAAAGCAUCUAAGCACGAAACUUGCCCCGAGAUGAGUUCUCCCUGAGACUUUAAGUCUCCUGAAGGAACGUUGAAGACGACGACGUUGAUAGGCCGGGUGUGUAAGCGCAGCGAUGCGUUGAGCUAACCGGUACUAAUGAACCGUGAGGCUUAACCUUACAACGCCGAAG
rnacentral:rRNA from 2 species